rnacentral:tRNA from 1 species
GCCGACAUAGUAUAGUGGUUAGUACGUAUCGUUGUGGAUUCCGAAAGGUCAUACGCUCCCGAUACAGCCUCAGUUCGAUUCUGGGUGUCGGCA